GCUCCUAGAUUUUUUUUUUUUUAACAAGUCCAAACCUAAUUUAAAUGGCUAAAAGAUAAGUAAAUGUGAAACAUAUCAAUUGGUCCAUAAUCAUAGCUAGGGUCAAAGAUGAUUAAUUUCUUAGAAGAUACAACAAAAUGUUGCCUACUAAAUAGUGUGAGAAAGAUGAAAAGGAGGAAUAAAAUAGCAUUGGGCUACACAAGGAACUUAUUUGCUGGGAAAAUGACAUUAAGAUGUGAAAACACAACUCAGUGGAUCAGUAAGUGCUUUGAAUCAAAGGAACACUAAAAAAAUAAAAUUUUUUUUUUCUUUUUUAGACCAGAGAAAGUAGACAUCCUGAAGUUCCAGGUUAGAAGAUAUUUGUAAAGUUAAUUUGUUGAGUCUGAACUUUAGGGGCCAUCAGUUCAAAUGUCUUGAGUGAAGAGGAACUCACCACUUAAUCUCAUAAAGGAUGUGUCUGGCCUGUGCUCUUGUAAGACUUCAACUGCAGAACUCACAUAUGACUCCUCCUAGGGCUCUGUGAAGAACAGAUGGGAGCCUGAGUGUGGAAACUCUUUGGAAACCAUGAAGCAGUCUGUAAAUGAAAAGGGGCCCGAAGAAGAGGCCACGUGAGCACACAGAGAAGGUGGCUGUCUACAAGCCAGGAAUGCGGCUCUCACCAGGAACCAAAUCUGCCAGCACCUGGGCCUUAGACUCCCAGCCUACAGAACUGUGAGAAGUAAAUGUCUGUUCCUUAAGCCACCCGUUUUGUUAGUGCAUCCUCAGUAGACUUGGGGACCGUGAACGAGCAAUUAAAUGAAUGAAACAAAGACACAGAGUACAAAGGCAUAGAGUACAAAUGGGGAAUAAAGGGCUGUCUUUGAAAACAUAUGGUGAGGUGUUAGGAAGGUAACCUGUGGCCUGAUGGAAGGAGUCCACCAGGCUGGUGGUUCUAGGAGUGUGGCUUGUGAACCAGAGGCAUCCGUAUCACCUGGGAACUUGCUUCAAAUGCAAGUUUCUGGACCCCCACCCAGGCCUAUUGAAUCUGAAACUCAGGGGUGGGGCCCCAGUCUGUGUUUUAGCAAUCCCUCUAGGUCAUCCUGAAGCACACUUAAAUUUUGAGAAUGAUGACCGUACAAACAUGGAGAGUUUAGAAAUGAUUCUGUUGAAAAUCCAGUGUAAAUGAAGGGUUUUAGCUGUGGAAAUACUCAGAGCUAUAUUUCUAAGAUGAUGAGGCAUAGAAAGAACAGUUGGAAAUACCGGAAAACAUAUAUUUGCCAAGCCUCAGAGUUGAAGAUUUUGGUUUUUCCUCAUUCGAGAUAACGUCCUCCUAAGAAUCAAAGCAGAACAAGCAUUGGCCAAACCUCCUUGGUCUACACAAUCAGGAAGAAUGAGAAUGUUUAUGUAAAAGCACAGGAGUAACUGUGGAAUAGGGACCUGGUUGAUCUCAGAAAGGCCUCUUAGUUUUGACUGACUGUGGGGAAACCUAAAACGGAACCUUCUAAAUCAAGUUAAACCUCAGCUUUUCCUAAGACUGUGCUAACUAGACAGGGUGCACAUGCAGUUCUGUCUCUAGGGCUGGUGCAGACAGGUCUGCCAAAAGAGAGAACAUUGUAUGGGGGAGAAAUGAGCCUCAAGGGGAAACACUUACCUUAAGAGUCAAGAAGCAAAAAUACAAUACAGAUGGGGAGGGAGUUGGGGAGAAGCAGGAUGGAGGCCAUUCAGAGUAGUUAGGGACUGCUGAGAUGACCAGUUAGCAUGCUUGCCCAGGACUGUGGGAUAACCCAGGACACAGGGUGUUCAGGACAUCCCUGUCAAACCUGGACAACUAGUCACCCUCUGAUGACCCUCCACCUGUUUUUAAGACCUGGGGAGAAAAGAAAGCAGAAAAAACACUACUCUAAACCUUGUUUCUCAAAAUAAUUGCCUAAAAACUGGCAAGGUUACCAUCACCUAGGAACUUGUUAGAGAUGCAUCUCCUUAGGCCCACCCUAGACUUGCAGGAUCAGACUUGUACCAGAUCAAGAGCCCUGGGCGAUGUGCAUGCCCAUCAGUUUGAGGACGAUCUGAGCACCAGGUGGUGCCCCCAGUAGGAAAAUGUACCACUGAUGGAAAGCAGAGGGAAUUUCUUGAUUGUGUUAUGGCUUCUGUGCAGGUCAGCCAGAUUCUAAGCCAAAACCAUCUCAACCUUACCUGGGAAGGAACAGAAACUUUGGGGAAGAUUUUAUGCUAGGAAUACCUGCACCCUGGGCUUGGGGAAGUUCCCAGGCCAGGGAUCAAAUCAGUGCUGCAGUUGCAGCCUGCACCACAGAUGCAGCAAUGCUGGAUCCUUAACCUACUGUGCCACAAAGAAACUUCCCUUCCUGAGCUUUUAAUAGUGGUUACUGUAGGAAACGUGAGGAGAGCCAAAAAUCCAGCAGUUGUGUGGUGAGAGCAAAGCUGAGGAAACAUUCUUUUUUCCCUGUGAUUGUACCCUUUUUAGUAAAAACAGGCUGCUUUGGACUGGUAAAUGAGUGAUGCUUGGAAAUGUGGAGCCACAGCCCUAUAGGUAAGCGUGUCGGAAAAAAUUAAAAAUAAUCAUCCACUAAAAGUACUUGGGUUUAACAUUUGCAUUAUCACUCCAAUAUGCAAAGAAAGUUGUGUUUUCUUUUUGCUCUACCUGGUCUGAUCUUUUCCAUGGACUCCAGUUCUGCAUUCUAGCAGGGAUAAUUUGCACCUAAUUAAUAAUGUUUCAUUUUCCUCCAGCUUGAACAUAGUUCUUUCACUUAAAACAUUCUAACCAGUGGUUCUUAAAUGCAGACAUGCAGCAGAAUCACUUAGAGGGCUUGUUUAAAACACAGAUUUUUAGGUCCACACUCAGGGUUUCUGAUUCAGUAUAUUGGGUGAGGACUUAGAAUUUGCAUUUCUAAGGAGUUCAGGGGGUGAUGCUGAUAUUGCUGGUUCAAGGAACACAUGUUGACAGUUUCUCAUUCAAACUACUCAUCACUUUACUCCCAUCCAAAGGUGAUGGUUUGAAAACUACCACUUUUUGGAUUAAUGCUUCUCAAUUGGUUGAUCUUUCCGAUGCACCAUAGAUCCAAUAUAGGCCCUUACUACAUCUGAAUUGGAUGCAACUUAUGCCACAGGCAACUUGCCAUGCCAGUUCAACAUACCUGAACUGGUCUAUAUCUUAUUCAAGGAGUACAAUCCACUGAUCACAUGCUAGGAUGUCAAGGCAAUGUCAAUUUAUGAUAAAAAUUUAUAAACAUGAACUCACCUGUGUUUAUCUCACCUCAAACCAGUGAUAGUUAGUAGACUGACACUGGCUCAUAGACUGCGUUUUGAGUAACACUGUUUUAGAUGGCUCAGUAUUUCUCAAAUUCUCUAUUUUCCCCUCCCUUCUCUUUCCCAAGAAAGUAUCUGGGUAGAUGGGUGGGGGGGUGUCUUGCAUCCUUGUGGUGCCCUUGGAUCAUUCACUGUCCUCUGAACACUCUAAAUCUCCUCCCUAGAGGGACUGGAUUCAUCUUCUCCCUGGAAUUGGGAUCAGUGAAAUGUGCUAGAUUCCACCAGUCUUUUGGGAUGAUGUGUGUUGGCCCUCACUUCUGCUGUCACAGCCUUGAACGUUUCCCCUAUUAUCAAAGUUCCACUCCUCCACUCCCAUAGCCUCUUUCCCUGCCCUUAGACCCCUGCUGGUCCACCAGCAGUUCCACAGGGGAAAUGAGAAACUCCAAAGUACCCCUCCUUCUCACACAAAGGCUAUGAGGAGCAGGAAUGCUUUCAAAGCUCUGUGCACCUUCUGCGGUUGCCUCUGCACCAUGGCUUCUGAGCUGCAAGGGGUGUGAUGCUGGCCCAAAAGCUCAGGAUCCCCUAGAAGCAGUGACAGGCUGGAGGGAGUGUAUAACUUAGUUUUUUAGGAAGUAUGUACUCCAGUUGUUAAAUAUAGCCAUUAUUUUAAAAAAAUAAUAUAAACAUACACUUAAACAAGUUGUGUUAAAAGCCAAGGUAAUUAAUACUCAGAAUUGCCACUUCCUACUUAUUUUUAUUGCAUUUUACUAUCAUUUGUUAUAGAUGCAUGAUGAAAUACUAUGUAACAGUGAACUGCAACACAGUUUCUUCCAACUCUGUUCAGUAAGAUCGUGUUGAUCGGUUCAAACUGGCCAAGGCAGGAGUAUUUACACCACGGAGAUGAGCAAACACUGUAAAUCUAGGCUCCACCCUCCCUUCCACCCCCAGCACCCAUUCCUAAGGCAAGCUGUUAAACAUUUACCAGCACACCCCUGCCUAGAGCCUACAUCUGGGAAAUUGAGCCAUCCACCCAGUGGCCUCUAGUCAUGCUGUCCCUGUCUGGAUAUUACAAAGCUGCCCUUGCCCUGAAGAUUAACCCCAAGAAGUUGUGUGUGGAAGAGAUAUUGAAAACUAGACCUCUAUUAUCAUCUUAUCUCCUUUCCAUUCUUCUGUAUCCCUUCUCUCCCUGCCAUCUCUUGGGAAUGGAAGGAAGGAGCAAACUUCUGACUUUUUAUUUCCUCCACAUCUUAUACAUUGAGGAUAACAUUCAUAGCCUACCAUCACCCUUAUGGUAUUCUUCCCCAAAACAUAGAAAUGUUAUCUAAACAUGAGAAAACAUUAAGAAACUCAGAUUGAAGGACAUUCUACAAAAUACCCCAUUCUCUUCAAAACUGUAGAGAUCAUGAAAGACAAGGCAAAACCAAGAAAUGAUAAGAGCUUGGAGGAGUCACUGGCACUAAAUUCAAUGUAAUAUCAAGGAUUGGACCCUGGAAAAUAAAGGAAGUCAGUAAAGGAGACCCUGCUGUGGUACAGUGGGUUAAGAAUCUGACUGCAGAGGCUCAGGUUGCUCUGAGGUGUGGGUUUGAUCUUCGGCCUAGCACAGUGAGUUAAAGUAUCUGGUGUUGCUGCAGCUGUGGCAUAGGUCACAACUACAACUGAGAUUCAAUCCCUGGCCUAGGAACUUCCAUAUACAAUGGGUACAGCAGAAAGAAAGAAAAAAAGGAAGGGAGGGAGGGAGAGAGAGAGAAAGAAAGUUGGUAGAAAAAUGGUGGAAAUCCAAAUAAACUGAGUAUUAUCAAUGUUAACUUCUUCUUCUUUUUUUUUUUUUUUUGUCUUUUUGUCUUUUUAAGGCUGUACACGCUGCAUAUGGAGGUUCCCAGUCUAGGGGUCCAAUCGGAGCUGUAGCCACCAGCCUACAGCACAGCCACAGCGAUGCAGGAUACAAGCCAUGUCUGUGACCUACACCACAGCUCAUGGCAACGCUUCCUUAACCCACUGAGUGAGGCAAGGGAUUGAACCGGGGUCCUCACAGAUGCUAGUCAGGUUUGCUAACAGCUGAGCCAUGACAAGAAUGCCAACUUCUUAUUUUUAGUCAUUAUGAGAAGCAUGGGGGAGUGUAUAUGAGAACUCUGAACCACAUUUAUAGCAUUUCUCUAAAUAUACCAUUAUUUCCAAAUAAAAGUAAUGAAGGGAGAACUUCACAGCCUAGGUGAUAGAUGGAAAAAAAUAUCUCUUCUAUGCUGUGGAAAGAACUUAAGGUCUGCAUUUACCCGCUUUGUGAUAUGAUAAAAGGGGGAAAGAUGGGGCUAAUAGAAAAUCUCUUAACAAAGCUUGGAUUUCAAGUCUUUCAUCUUUUGUAGAACAAAACAUUUUACCUCAGAUCUUGUAGGCUAAACAUUAAGUCUUUCCCUUUUUCUUUACAAUCUAGCUAUAACAAAACUAAUCCCCAUCAUCUGAAAGUGGACCUCCUCAGACAGUGAAAGAGGUCCUAUACAUAGAAAGUAGAUUAAUGUAAAUUCCCAGAUGAUACUUUGCUGCUGGUCUCAGAGUAGGGAGAGUGGGGCCUCUUUCUGAGGUAUCUCCUCUUCCCUUGGCACAGGAAGCAUCAAGAAAGUUUUUACUGGCCAGAGGCUUAAAGACGCAUAGGAAAUGCACAGAAAUAAAAUAAACAAGUUGAGAGGGAGUUCCCAUCAUGGUGCAGCGGAAACGAAUCUGACCAGGAACCAUGAGGUUACAGGUUCGAUCCCUGGCCUUGCUCAGUGGGUGAAGGAUCUGGUGUUACUGUGAGCUGGUGUAGGUCACAGACAUGGCUCGGAUCUGGUGUUGCUGUGGCUCUGGUGUAGGCCAGUGGCAACAGCUCCCAUUCAAUCCCCUAGCCUGGGAACCUCCAUAUGCCACAGGUGUGGCCCUAAAAAAAAAAAAAAAAAAAA
ensembl:lncRNA